rnacentral:rRNA from 1 species
UACGUAGGGGGCAAGCGUUGUCCGGAUUUAUUGGGCGUAAAGAGCGUGUAGGCGGUUUGGUAGGUCCGCUGUGAAAACUCGAGGCUCAACCUCGAGACGCCGGUGGAAACCAUCAGGCUAGAGUCCGGAAGAGGAGAGUGGAAUUCCUGGUGUAGCGGUGAAAUGCGCAGAUAUCAGGAAGAACACCCGUGGCUAAGGCUGGCUCUCUAGUACGGUACUGACGCUGAGACGCGAAAGCGUGGGGAGCGAACAGG